rnacentral:rRNA from 1 species
UACGUAGGGUGCGAGCGUUGUCCGGAAUUACUGGGCGUAAAGCGCCUGUAGGCGGGGACGUGCGUCGGACGUGAAAGGCGGGGGCUUAACCCCCGAGCGGCGUUCGAAACGGCGUUUCUUGAGGGUCGAAGAGGAGCGUGGAAUUCCUGGUGUAGCGGUGAAAUGCGUAGAGAUCAGGAGGAACACCCAUGGCGAAGGCAGCGCUCUGGUCGGCAUCUGACGCUGAGAGGCGAAAGCGUGGGGAGCGAACGGG